rnacentral:rRNA from 1 species
GCCAGCCCGCUCAGAACUUAAAGGAAUUGACGGGGCCCGCACAAGCGGUGGAGUAUGUGGUUAAUUCGAUGCAACGCGAAGAACCUUACCUGGUCUUGACAUCCCGGAGACCCUUAGGAAACUAGGGGGUGCUUCCAUCUGGAAGAAUCUGGAGACAGGUGCUGCAUGGCUGUCGUCAGCUCGUGUCGUGAGAUGUUGGGUUAAGUCCCGCAACGAGCGCAACCCUUGCCUUUAGUUGCCAGCAGUUCGGCUGGGCACUCUAAAGGGACUGCCGGUGUUAAACCGGAGGAAGGUGGGGAUGACGUCAAGUCCUCAUGGCCUUUAUGACCAGGGCUACACACGUACUACAAUGGCCGAUACAAAGGGCAGCGACACUGCGAGGUGAAGCCAAUCCCGUAAAAUCGGUCUCAGUCCGGAUUGGAGUCUGCAACUCGACUCCAUGAAGUUGGAAUCGCUAGUAAUCGUGGAUCAGCAUGCCACGGUGAAUACGUUCCCGGGCCUU